GCCGCCGCCGCCGCCGCCGCCGCCGCCGCCGCCGCGAACCCGAGCCGCCAAGCAUCCUUCUCUGUUCAGCAGCGCAGCCGAGCCGCAAUCGCGACCGAGCCGUCGCCGAGUUUCCAGCCGCGCCGGGAGAUCGUCCAAGCCGAUCUGCGCAGCCGAGCGCCCGUCGGACGCCGAAGCCGAGUCGAAGCCGCCUCCGUGCGUCCGCAGCCAACCCGUCAGCCAGCCGAGGCGCGCCGCUCCGAUCCGACGCAAGCGCAGCCGAAACGCCAGUCGUAGCCGUCGCCGAGCGAAGCCGCGGUAGCCGGACCACCAGCAGCCGCCGCGCCACCCGAGAUCCGGAAGCCGAAGCCUCGCGCGCAAAGGUCCGACCGAAGACCCGCCCCGCGACCCGAACCGACGCGCGCCACCCUCCGGAAACCCGACCCGCGCCCGCGUGCACCCGUGCGUGAGCCGCGCCCGCGUGUGAAGCCGCGCCCGCGUGUGAAGCCGCGCCGCGCGCUUUUGUGUAGCCGAGCCGCGUCUCCCUGUUGCAAGCCGAGCCGCGUCUCCCCCUGUUGCAAGCCGAGCCGCACGCGAAAUCCCUGUACCGAGCCGAGCCGCGUCUGCCCAAGCCGAGCCGGUCCUGUCUUCUUCCAGCCGAGCCGCCAGGACUAAAUUGGCUCCAUCCACCUAUAUUUUGGGACGUCUUGGACCAAGAAAUUACUGCAGCGCGGGAUUUCCUUCAGUAGGGGCUCGAGCACUGCAACCUCCUUCUAGGUUAGGACUUCGUCGCUUGGAAAGCGUACUGCCUCGCGGUUAGGACUCGACAAGUAGAUCUCCAGGUAAGAGAUUCUACUACUAGUUUCAUGUUUGAAGUAUGAGACUGUGUAUGCCCUAUGUUGCAUAUUGAGAGUUUGACAGUAUGAUGCCUGAAAUAAAUGUUAGUAUGAUGCAAAUGACGAUAUAGUUGUGCUAUAGCCUGUUAUGCGUGGCAAGAUUUAUUAUGGUUACGACGAAUGUCGGGACGGAGAGUGUAGAAAUGAUUUAUGUGACAUGUUAUAUGCUGAUGCCAUGUGUAUGUAUACUGCAAAUUAGGGUACCUGUUAGCUUGAUGCUGUUAGAGUCGUACCUGCAUGGGUGUCCUUCGGGAUCACCACCUAUUGAGGACUGUGUGGUCCGACGGGACGCCAGUCUAGCAUGAUAUAGACAUGACUCGAGUGACUCGACGGGGUCCUCGCAUCCCGACUGUCCUAGGUGUCCCCGGGCACCGAAGACCAGAGUUACGUUCCUACGGGAGCGCAUGAUUGCACGUGUUCGGGAACGUGCCAGAGAUUGGGUACCAGUUAUCAGGACUCUAACAGGAAGUUAACAGGCACCUAGUGGGACUAGUAGUGGGUCCCUUACUGAGUAUUUUUAUACUCAUUCUCUCCACUUUAUGUUUUCAGGUAGAGGACGAGGCAAAGGCAAGGGCAAGCUGGCGAGCGACCCGAAGUGAGACCGAGGAGGGCCAUAGGGACUACCGCUUCCGCUUAUUUCUUAUUUCAGAUUUUAGCAUUCGAGUUUGAGUACUUUUUAUUUUUCACUAUCUUUUAUGUAGAUAGGGCCCGAGUAGGAUUUCAGAACGUUUUUACAUUUUUGCAUGACUACCUUGUUUAUGUUUUUAUAAAUGAAUUUCUUGAACCGUAUGCUUUUAAUAAAAUUUUUAGACUUAAACCA